GUGCUCUCUUCAGCAGCACAUUUACUAAAAUUGGAACAAUAAAGAGAUUAGCAAGGCCCCUGCACAAGCGUGACACACAUUCGUGAAGCAUUCCACACACAA